UUCUUCUGUUGUCGUCAUGUCAGUGGCUGAGGAAGCAGAAGAUGUAUGCAUCGAGUAAGUUCCCCCCUGUUGAUAUGCAUCUAACAAGUUGUUUAUGCAAAUGUCAUAUGUAAUAUGCGCAUUCAAUUGUCGUCUUCACGCAUGCAGGCGCUGCAUCCACGGACCCCUCAGACGACAUGCUCCUCGCCGCUGCCAUGUUGGUCGACUCUCAGCGUGAGUGUAUAUGACUGUAACAGAGUGACAACUGUAAGUCUCUGUUUUGCAGUGGACAGGGAUGCCCCACCAGCUGUCACCCCGCCUGGACCCUCUGUGACCGGACCUUCCCAUAGGUGCUGCCCAAGAGCUGGAGAAUGACGCUGCCGGAGGAGCAACAGGACUGGCUGGGCCGGGCUCUGUUCACCAGAGGCACGGGUGGGCAGCCAGUCCUCACUGCUGACCUCCAUCUGUGGUGGUUCCCCCCCGCAGACCGGCCCCUCUACACCCAGCCCCCCACCACUGCCCACGCCUUCUUCCAGAGCCGGUUCUUCUUCUGCGCAUACAAGCUGGUGGGCCUGUACAAGACCGUCCGGUACUUCAUGGGCACAGAAAGUACGCGGCGUGGGCACAGGACAUCUUGGGACAGCUGGACCUGGCACACCAGGAACGGUUUCCAGCUGUCUUCACUUACAAAUUGGGCUGCUGAAGGAACGCACUUUGGGCAACAGUGCGUCUCUCCUCCACGCUGCUGUGGUGGAUCAACACACCAGAGAGUGGAUGAGCAGGUCGAUGAGCUAUCUUUCCGUGCUUCGCGUGCCAGGUGCCCGUUACCCAGCGUGUCCUGGCUGCUGUCUGUGUACGUGAGGGAUGUCCUCACUCGCCUGGACGAGUCAAAAGCCAGGGUCACGUCCAUCUUUGGUGUUAUCUUAAAGAUGGGACUCCACC